rnacentral:rRNA from 1 species
UACGGAGGGUGCGAGCGUUGUCCGGAAUCACUGGGCGUAAAGGGCGCGUAGGCGGCGCGGGCAGUCAACGGUGAAAGCUUGGGGCUCAACCCCGAGUCGGCCGUCGAUACUCCCGUGCUUGAGCACUGUAGAGGCAGGUGGAAUUCCGGGUGUAGCGGUGGAAUGCGUAGAGAUCCGGAAGAACACCGGUGGCGAAGGCGGCCUGCUGGGCAGUAGCUGACGCUGAAGCGCGACAGCGUGGGGAGCAAACAGG